UAUUUAAAUGUUAUCCCUAAAUUCUGAUACUCCAUCACUGAAAAAAGUGCCUGCCCAAAGUCUAACACCGUUUAUUGUUUUACAAUCAAACUCAUUAGUAAGCGUGUUACUCUAAACGGUGUUCUUCCGUCGGUAGCUGUGGGGCCCGCAGGUCUUAAAUAACCUCAGUGACAGCGCCGUCGCGGUGCUGGUUUUUAAUUAGCGCAUGAAUAUUUGAACGGAUCGUGAUGCGGUCACAGAGAGUCUCCUUUAACAACAUGCUUCCUCCUCCUCCCGGGGGAUGGCGGCGACAACCGGGACUGAAAACCCCACUCUCCUUUUUUUUUUUUCCUGAACCGCAAGAAGGUUUUCAUCAACACCGCGGGGACGCAUUCAUCCUGCCUGUUAGCCGGGGAAAGUCGCUGAAAUCACCGCCAAGCUGCAAACGCACCUAUCGCCCUCAGCUCGGCACGGCUUCACAUUUGGAAUCUGAUUUCUCUGUGCUCUCUUUUCCACGCUAUUCCACGAGGCUAGCAUGGCUGCUUUAAAGACGAGCUCUUUGUGAUUCUCUGAGACACCAGCGCACGAUGAUUACAGGAUAUAUAAUCAUCCUGUAUAUUGUUUAAUUUUUCACCCUGACUUUCACUGUAAACACACACACACACACACACACACACACACACACACACACACACACUAAAAUAACUAAAAUGCAAUGACACGAAAUGCAUGACUAUUCAAUAUGUAUGUUUUCCAAAACGCAGAAUUUACGUAAUUUUCAACUGCAUGUUUUGAUGGGGACCACACUCUUCUUCUUACUUUUAUUAAAUUUUACUUUUUUAAAUCAUGAUCGAGGCAGUCUUUGUUAUGUUAUUUAUUUCCUGUACAAAGUUACAUAUAUAAGCUUAAAUGUUUAAGCUUAAAACAUGUAAGCUUUAAGAUUUAAUCAGACUAUUAUGCUAGAAGCCUUGGCUUGGAUGGGUGAGCCAGGU
rnacentral:lncRNA from 1 species